rnacentral:tRNA from 1 species
ACCUGGCUGGCUCAGUCGGUAGAGCAUGUGACACUUGAUCUCAGGGUCAUGGGUUCAAGCCCCAAAUUGGGUG